UACAGAGGUCUCAAGCGUUGUUCGGAUUCAUUGGGCGUAAAGGGUGCGUAGGCGGCGCGGUAAGUCGGGUGUGAAAUCUUGGAGCUUAACUCCGAAACUGCAUUCGAUACUGCCGUGCUUGAGGACUGGAGAGGAGACUGGAAUUUACGGUGUAGCGGUGAAAUGCGUAGAUAUCGUAAGGAAGACCAGUGGCGAAGGCGGGUCUCUGGGCCGGUAACUGACGCUGAGGAGCGGAAAGCGUGGGGAGCGAACAG
rnacentral:rRNA from 1 species